GAAAUAAAUGUCGAAAAGGGUUGUAGCUGGCCUCUUGAGGCAUGUGCACACCUUUAUCGCGCAUCUACAUCUCACACCUGUGCACAACCUGUAGCUUGGGAUGAUUACAAUACUGGAAACGGUAUUGAAAGCCCUCGCUAUGAAUUUUUAUACAACCCUAUUAAAAGUUAAAGAAUGUUUAAUGUUAUAGCGUGUAACAGCGCGAAUAAAUAUACAACUUUCAGCAACGGAUCUCUUGGCUCUCGCAUCGAUGAAGAACGCAGCGAAAUGCGAUAAGUAAUGUGAAUUGCAGAAUUCAGUGAAUCAUCGAAUCUUUGAACGCACCUUGCGCUCCUUGGUAUUCUGAGGAGCAUGCCUGUUUGAGUGUCAUGAAAUUCUCAACUGCUUUAGCUUUUGUGGUUGAAGUAAAGUUGGAUUUGGAGGAAUAAUUGCUGGCGUAACCUUUUAAGGUUGCUUGUUAGCUCCUCUUAAAUGGAUGAACUUUCCAGUAGUGUAAAAGUAACACCAAUGUGAUAAUUAUCUACGUUGGAUGAACUUGUACAAGGAAAGAUGAAUCUGUCUUGGACCCCCUUGACGAAACAAAUGACAAAUUUGACCUCAA
rnacentral:sRNA from 1 species